GAUACAUUAUUCUGUCCACAAAUGCUUCGGGGUUCGCGACAGGACUUUUUUGGGUGAGUGUACCACCCAAUCUGUACCUACUGUUAUAACAAUACCCAUGAAAAUCCCUUUAACAGGUAAGGAAUCCUCCACUCCCCACAGUCACCGGUUGGAACAUCAGAUCUGUCGUAUGUCAGAGCCGAACAGUAACGGUACCAAGAAUACCCGACAAAACCUUUUUUUUUACCACAACAAGCCUACAUCUCAAGAUACUCUGCCGUUUGAGUGGUCAGUCACGUUUUUGUAAUGUUCCGUUGGCAAUCACUGGGCUGUACAGUUUCCACAAUGUACGAGAGAAUGUGCACCACCGUUGAUGAAAUGCGGUCUUUAAUUCACACUCAUAACACUGGCAGUUUUUCCAGUUCACAAAUACCCCAAGAGUUUCCAGAUUGCCCCCGAGGGGGGGUUAGUUUAUUGGGCACCCCCUUACAUCCCGUGCAAGGUGAAGAAGCGUUUACAGUGCCUAUCCGGGAAGCGUGCGGAGUUCGCGCUCGGCUUUUACGACUCGUGCAUUGAGGGCGUAAAAGUCUGAAGGGUCAUGGGUUUUGUCAGCAAGUGACAGAAAGAGGAGCUCGUGGGGAAUUCCCGGUAAGAUUUAUGUUUAUGGCAAAGCGUGGCAGGUCCCUAAUGUGUUAAGUGCCAGGCAUUGACAAUAUUAAGGGACAUAUCUUGUAGUGCGAUGGCGCGGACGUUGUUCUCGGCGUAGAUACGUAGUCCAUUAGCACGUCCACACGGUGGUCAAUCGAUGCGGAGAACCGGAUUGGACGGGCCCCGGCAGGUGGACAGGGGCAGGCUAGGUAGCCAGCAGUGAUGCCAGGCGGCGGUGGAGUAGGCCGCGAGCAAGAGGGGGAGGGGGGGGUGACUGGUUAGCAGCUGGAGUCAUGGGUAGGUCAAAGUGUUUCAAUACUCUUGGUAAAUUCGAUCUGAUGUUUGGGCAUCAAAAUGAUCUAAUUUCAGUAGUACUUGGAAACUUGUAGCUAUCCCCAAGGACAAGCCACUCGUACUGACAGACUCGACUGGUUUUACUAACAACAAAGACAGUUGAAGCUUUGAACGUCACUUAAUGGAUCUUCUAACUAUAAUGAGACAUAUCUAAGUUGCCUUAACACAUACCACCACAGCUGCAAUUUCCAAUUGUGUGUCGUUAUACGAAGGAAUAACAAAGUCUGUGGGUGCACUGUGACGACGGAGAGAAAACGGAGGACUCGGACAUCCCGAAGCGACGAGAAAUGAAACGCGUCAGACGGGCGACUCCAUAAAGAAAGCACAGCUACACGUUAACCCACAAACCAGCCUCCGCUUUCAUUCUCCUUCUGUAGUUCCCACUAUACCUUGCCCUAAAUAUCCCUGUUCACCUCAGAGCCACGGCUGUUUUAUGUCGGUGUUCCGACCGACCGUUUUGAGCGUAAUAAGAAUCGUCCGAUUUUACGUUAAGUAACAUGCACGACCGUGGUCAUUACAUGUUGAACCCAGUGUUUUUUUAAUGCCAAUUUUUCCUCAAUUUCAAAGUCUUUCCAAUGUUAAACAAGUAAAAGGUAAUUUUAUAGAAUAAAAUACACGUUGUGGCGGAAAUGCAAUAGAAGAAAAGGUUUUUGGAAUUGCCCAAAGUACAGACUCCAAAUGUUAAAUUCACUGCAUGACCAGACCUAUAAUUUGGACUGAACCUUGGUCGUGUUAAAUUGAAAGACCGGGUCAUUAUUUAGUACUGUAGUGGUCUAUUAUGUCAGAUGGAAGUUCAUAUUUGUAGGUUAGAUUUUCAAAUAUGUGGAUUGGAAUUUAGUAUUUUGCCACUUCUGGUGUUAUCAGACUAGUUUAAACCAGUGAAGAUCGAACUACAGUACAGGGCCACUGUCGAUACGAGAAUGUGUAUUUUGAAAGUAAAAAGCAGCAUAUUAAUUUCAUCAUUGGGUUAUGUUGUGAAAAUGUAAUACUAUUUGAAGAUGAAUAGAGCGGUAUUUCCUAAAAGGUAUUAGCGUUUAAGUACAGUAUUUGAGACCCUUUCCAAAUGGCAGACGUAGUGCAGAUUUUAUUCUAUUUUGAUUCGGUAUAAUAAAGGAUUUAAAUGGUAUAAAAAAUAUAAAUGGAAUAAUUUCAUUGGUUACAUAUAUUAUAUAUUCAAUAUGUACUCAACCCGUACACGUUUGACUUUGCUUGCACAGAAUAUAAUGAAACAUAGCUCUUUACGGGUCUUGAAGAAAUAAGAAAGAUGCUGGAGAGCAGUUUUUUGAAGAGACAAGUUGCUUGUAGUGUAACACUUAUUUGGUAGGAAACCAGAAACUCACUCUAAAGCUGUGGGAAGGAUCCGCCUCCCACUAACCGCGGUAGAGCUGGCAAGUAAUUCUUCCGAUGGCGUUCUCCAGCAACAGUUAAAAACCAAGAUAACUGCUGUAGAAUCUCCCAAUCGCUCUGAUGGGGUCGAGGUCACACUACAGCUUGCUCGGUCAAGUCGUAUAGGCUUCACGUUCGUGUAAAGAGCGUGUGCUAGAGAUAAAGUAAAAAGCAAGAACAUUAAUGUAGUUUAACCCUGGUGUAACACAAGACUUAGAAGGUAUAGUUUUGUUAAUAUCCAUAGACUAAUAAACUUUAGCAUUUUUGUCAAGAGAAAAAUCAAACUAUGGUUUAGAAUCACUAACAAAUAAUUGAAAAGCCAAAUACUUCAAGAUACACUUCUGGACUAUCAGUAUGUUUUCUUAACAAAUGGGCACAUAUUGGAACCUGUUAAACAUUGGCACGUUUGAAGUGACAGUGUACUGAUGACUGGGUAGCUGUAGAUAUCCAUGGAUAUUUUUUGGCAGGUGUGGGGUAUAGCAGAGGAACAGGUUAAUGAGCCCAGGUCAAAAUGAUGUCCAGAGGUUAAAAUUGGGAUUGGGCACUUUAAUUUUCAUAAUUGCUCUAUAAGAAAAGUCAUACACAAAAGUGUAAUGAGAACGUUAUAAAUGGAAGAAAAUAUAUUAAUGUAAAACAGUAGCUUAAAUUUAGGGGAUGAUAUAUUUGGGUUUUAACAGGCCAAUGGUAGGGAGACGAAAAGUGAGGUAAUCUUGAAGUCACAACAGAGAACCGGCUUCAGCUGGGAAGAGAAGAGCCCCUGUAGGUUACUGAAGGAGAAAGUGUGGUUUGUGGAAGAGGAAGAUUUGGUGACCCGAGUGGCUGAACAAGUAGAAGAAAUCGAUUUUAAGGGGUAGGGAUUAAAACAUGGAGAGAGGUGUGUCAAGGUAGAGUACAGAUAGGAGUGUGUGUGUGUCAAGGUAGAGUAGAGGAGAGAGGCAUGUCAAGGAAGAGUAGAUAGAGGUGUCAAGGUUGAGUAGACGAAGGGUCUAAGAUUUGUCCAAACUACAGAUUGCAACUCUUAAAUUUACUAUAUGAGCAGACUUAUAAUUUUACUCUAAUUUCGACUUCACAUUGGUCGUGUUAAAUGAAAGACUUCGGGUCAAUAUUUAGUACUGUAGUGGUGUGUCAAUGAUGGAAGUUCAUAUUAUUUCUAGGUAACACAUUCAAAUAUCUUGUUUGGAAUGUAUUAUUUCACUACUUCUGGUGUUAUCAGACUAUAUCAAGAUUAGUUUAAACCAGUGAAGAUCGAACUACAGUACAGGGUAUUCGUUUUUUGCCCAUUCUGGCUACGAGAAAGGGCAUUUUAAAAGAUUAGAAAGUAUAAACCAGCACAUUAAUCUCAUCAUUUGGGUGAGGUCGUAAUUACAUUUUAAGAUGAAUAUAGCGGUGUUUGCCAAGAGGUAAAAGCGUUUAAUAUCUUAAAGUAUAGUACGUAUUUCAGGACUAACUUGACAAAUAGCAGACGUACUUCAGAUUUUAUUCUACUCAAGGUUUUGAUUCCGUAAAAUCUAGGAAUUAAAUUAUUCCAUAAAACAUAAGUGGUAUACAAGUAGAACAAUUUUAUUAAACUCUUAUUGGUUACAUACAUUGUAUAUUCAAUAUGUACUCAACCCAAACAUAUUUGGGUUUACUUUCACAGAAUAUAAUACAACACAGCUCUUUACUGGGAAUACACCUGGACACAGAUUAUGACCCACAAAUGGGGUCUGGGAGGGAGUUGAAGAAAUAACAAAAAUGCUGGAAAGCAUCUUUUUGAAGAGACAAAUUGCUUGUAGUUUAACACUUACUAGGUAACAAGAAUAUUUUCACUCAAGUUGUGGAAAGAAUCCACCUCCCAGUAACCGGGGUAGGGUUCGAGUAGGCAAGAAAUUCUUCCGAUGGUGUUCUCCAGCAACAGUUAAAGAAACCAAGACAACUUUUGUAGAAUCUCUCGAUUGUUCUGAUGGGGUAGAGGUCACACUGCAGUUUCCUCGGUCAACUCGUAUAGGUCCCACGUUCGUCUAACGAGCGUGUUCUAGAGAUGAAAUAAAACGUAAGAUUAAUGUAAUUUUAUCCUGGUGGAAUGGUACAACACAAGACUUCCUUAAAAGGUUUAGUUUUGUUAAUAUCCAAAGACCAAUAAAAUUUACCAUUUUUGUCAAGUGAAAGUUCAAACUGAGGCUUCAUAUUCACAAACCAAUAAUUUCUAAGCUAAAUACUUCAAGAUUUACUUACAAUAUUGAGUAGAGUUUAACACUAUAGAUGUUGUAUGGUCGUCGCGCACCAGUGUUCUGUGUUCUCAGGCCGUCUACCGGGCAUUAUAUACAGGCGGUCCACAUUCCCUGACCAAUCACAAGCUGUUUGUUAGGGUAAGUUUUAGCCACUGGGAACAUACCUUUUUAUGACGUCAAGGUCGCACCAUGCGAAUGGUUGUAACGCCGGCAGGUUUGCCAAUCCGGAUGUGCAAAUGGCUGUUUGAUGACGAGUAAAUGAUUGAAAGUUUAUUGUGACAUAAAAGAAGUGUAUAACGUGAAAAAAAAUAUUAGAAAAGCGUAUUUAGAGGAGGUGUGAAAAUGUAUUCACUGCCUUACUUAUCUGUGUAGAAAUUGUGAAUGUAUGAAAUGUUUUACAAGAGUAAUAUUGGCCUCACUUGAAGUGUCAGACGAUUGUUAAGAGACAUAUACAUGAAAAUAGUAUUAUUGUUAUAUAAAAAAGUCCUAAAAUUGAAGACAAUAGCAUAAAAAGUACAUUGAUAAAGAGAGAAGAAGAAGAAUGAACCAUUGAGUUAUUAUUAACGUUUACUUGUAAUUAACUAAACAGCAGAAACACUAAAACUCUCCAAAGCUUUUAAAUCUUACAGGUGAGUAUUCAAAGAUACACAUGUGUUACAGGAACCGAACAUACACAUUAAAACAAAGUAGAGUGGUAAGUGUUGUUUGUACUCGGCAGAUGAAUGUAAUAUACUGUACUCGUAAACUUGCUCCGAGGAGAGUCAAUUACAUCGGGUGUGGUUAGAGAGGUGAAACUCGUACAAUUUGAUAAUGAUUUCAGGCCUCACACGUACAGUACAGCACCUUGGAGAGUAAAUGUGGUACCUGGUAAUAUAGUGUACAUUUAUUUCAAGGAAUUAUUAUAUAACAUUUAGUAUCAUGUGGAUUAGUACACGUAAGAUGGUGUUAGUAAAUACAUACGAGAAUGUUACCACGAUUUGAAGUGUGAUUUUUUAAUUGUUAUAAUUAAGUUAUAAAUAUAUACCUUUGACGGUAAUGUGUAAACAUUAUUCGGGUCGUGACUUUAUUAAAUUGACCGUUCGUAAUUGUCACCAAGGAAUGGAGAUGCGAGUGGUUGUAGGGUAUGUUGUUAUUUCCAUGUUGGAAGGAAACUUUAUUGACUACGAUACUGCCACUGUAGUGUGUGAGUUGCUCUCCUAACUUUUUGGUUCGUUUUCUUAUCACAAAUUGUGUGGUGUUUGUUGUUCGGUGUAAAUCCCCAAGAGUAGUUUAUGUGGCAGUUGGUGAUAAUCCCCUCGUUUGGUUGUGCCGGUGUUUACUGGAGAAGUUCGGGGUCCCGGGGAUUCGGAAAGCAGGACUCUGGCGGUUUUGAGCUGGAGAAAUUUGGACUAUAGUUUACGAAAUGGAGUUUGUUUUAAUAAUGUUGAAGAUUACACGAGAGUUUUCAAUGUAUCCUUGUACUGUGACGCCUAGGUGAAGAAUAAAAUGGUGAAAAUUGGAAGUUAUUCGAAUGAGCGGAUUCAGUGAGGAGUGAGCGACUAAUUUGACGGUUCAGUAGCGAGUUGGCGGGAAGGUAGGGUAUUUAAAGGCUGGACGAGCAAGGAUGAAUCAGUUACAAUCGGAUACUAGUGUCUGGUGGUAGUAUUAGCUACAGUACAAAGUGAAGAAGAAAAGAAAAGUGCUUAUAAAGUGGUGUUAAGACAUUUGUUCGUUCCGCAGUUAGUUGAACGGUUUUCUUAAACGUUUUUGUGAGUUCUUUAACACAAGUUGUAUGGUGUAUUUGGCUUGUGGUCUGUGAAACCUAUUUAAGGAUCCUUCUGUGUUUGUGAUUAAUUAGCGAGUUUGUGAAGGUGUUUAAGUUCAUGGAGUAGAGAAUAUUUUUGUAAAUACGUUAGUUUAAUUGAAAUAACGUUGAUGUUUCGUGGCAAGUGAUUUGAAAAUUUAAAGUGAAUUUUAUGAAAUUAGCUGAAUGUGUUGCGUUUUUGUAAGAAAGCUCAUUGAGAUUAAGUGACGGAAAGUGAAUUGACGAGAGCGUCAAGAUUGUAAGUCGAUGUAGUUACUUGGUUUUUGGAGAUUGAAAUAUCCUCUUGAGCUAAAGUUGUUUGGAUACGCACUUGAAAUCCGUGCAUAUUAUAAUAUUUGUUUAUUCGUGUAGACGGUUGUGAUUGACUGUCCAUAAGACGAAUAGAUUUUGUAUUACUGUACCUUGAAGUAGGACAGAUCAUAGUUAAAUGUUGAAAAUCGGUGAAUUGAAAAAGAUGCCGUAUUUAUGUGUUUGUGUGUUUUGAUGCCAUAAAUCGGAGAGGAAGUGAAGAAAAUACUUAUUCCGCCAGCGACCGGAGAUGAACGAGGGGAAAGGACUGCAGGUAAGUGACUAUAAAUAUUGAGAGUUUACUUAGUGAUGAAAAGAUAGGGAUUUGACGUGAAUAACCAUAUUUCGAGCUCGAGUUGAGUUAGUUAAUUCUUAAUAAGUGUAGUGUGGACUAGAAAAGCAAAUGGUGUGGUCUCGAUUACAAGUACUUGUUUACUAAUAUUUGAUUAGUUAAUGUAUUGUGAGGGAAGCGUUAGAACGUGGGUUAUUAGCGUGAAACGAGUUUGGAGUGUGGCUUGAUAACCGGUAUAUAAUCAUUGGAAUGGCCACGUGAUAGUAGUUAGGAAAAUAAAUAUUGUGACAAUGUAUAGGUUUUUGUGCGUUGUAGGAAGAGAGCGUAGUGUGUGGUGUGAAUUUUUGAUAAUUAAAAACAAAAAUAAUGGCUAUAAUUACGAGUGUAGACUAUAAAAGGGUGAAAUUAGUUUAAAAAGAAAUUUGUAUGUAAAAUAAGCGGCUGAAAGUCGUAGGUUUUGAAUGCACAGUCGGCCAAAGAUCCACCGACCUUAUUCUGGGUCUCGUGUUCGUAAUUUUACCUGUCAAUACUUUGUGAUGGAAGGCUGCAUGUAAAGGAAAUUGGGUGAUCUGUUUUUGGGCGUAUAACUGUCAGGAUAAGUAUUAAAGAAAGCAAAGGUAGUAUUUUUGUAAUAAAAGAUUGAUUAAGGCGUGAAGUUGAAAAAUGUUCGUAUGUGUGCGCAAUUAGUGAAGAAAAUUGUAUUAAUGACUAGUUUGUAUAAAAUGUAGUGUACGUGUAUUAAGAUUUUGUAGUAGUUUAUUUCAGAUUGUACGAACCGCAAGGAGGAAGCUGUAGAGGACUGGCGCAUGAGCGUUAAAUUGGAGCCAACUAGGUAGGGGAGAGGUUGAUUUUUGCAGAGAAGUGGUUGGAUUGACCGGAAGUUGUAGUUUAGGAAUAAGUAAGGCGAGGGAAAUUUGUGAGUAGGUGUUGUGUUUGUGCUGUUAUAUACUGGAGGCUAUAUAAUGGUACUACACUCUCGGUUGUGUGUUUUUAGGUUAGUAUGAAAUUGUCGUAGAUAUAGGGUAGGUGAGGUGGCCGUUUGGGUUAAGGUAACAUUGUUAGGCAGAUUAGAGUUUGAUUAAUUGUAUAUGCUUUGGUUUGAGUAGUUUUAAAUUGGCAGUUUGAAAUGUAAGUGAAAAUUUGCAGGUUGAGUCGUAACUACUGUUGGAUGAAAUGAAAUGUAAUUUGACAUUGGGUUUUGAGAAAGUGAUAAUUAGUGAGUUUUAUUGCAGGUGUAUGUAUGGAAGACUAAUGGCUUAUACUGUGGAAAAAAGAAGAGAACGUGGCAGACGGUUUGAGGUGGAGCCUAGCGCGUCCACACUUACGGUGACGACUGUGUGAAUACGGUUGUUGGAGGUGGAAGGAGCAGGUAUUAUUAUUUUGAGGUAGACUGAUGGGUUGGUGUCUGGCGGUGGAGGAACUUGGGCGAAUUGUGUCGGCUAGAGCCGAGUGGACGGACGCAGUAUGGCGGCGUUGGAAAUGGAAGGAGUGACGACUAGUUUGUGUGUAAUAGAUUGGAAGGGUGUGGGUACAAAGAUUUGGAGAUUGGAGCAAGAGGGGGUGCCGGCGGUAGAGCGGUACCGCUCUCGCCUCGCAAGUGAGAGUCACGGGUUCGAAUCCCAGGCCGGUGGAAAGUGGUUUGGACACACUUCCUAGACCCCUGUGUCCCUGUUGACCUAGCAGUAAAUUAGGUACCUGUUGUAAAUCGAAAGUUGCGAAUUCGUAUUCAGGGAAAAGUUGUUGGAGCUUGCAGUAAGUUGGCAAGAAAAUGUUUGGGGUUGUAUGCCCUCGACCCAAAAUGUGACGGCCCUUGAGGUUUGUGGUCACUUAACUAAUGAGACAUGAAGGCAAGCAUGAAGUUGGGAUGCUGUGUAGUUGGGCGGUUCUACUACCUGUAUGGAGCUGGGCACUAGACUGUGUUGGCUAAGCAAGUGGACUUAUGGUAGCCAUCCAGAGGUGGGGGAGAAGCCUUUGAUGUUUGAAAGGAGCCAAGUGUUG
rnacentral:lncRNA from 1 species